GCUGGGUGUGGUGAUGCACACCUGUAGUCCCAGCUACUCGGAAGGCUGAGGCAAGAGGAUUACCUGAGCCCAGGAGUUUGAAGCUGCAGUGAGCUAUGAUCGCGCCACUGCACUCCAGCCUGAGUGACAUGGUGAGACCCUGUCUCUA
ensembl:misc_RNA Metazoa_SRP Metazoan signal recognition particle RNA